GCAGCCGCGGUAAUACGUAGGGUGCGAGCGUUGUCCGGAAUUACUGGGCGUAAAGAGCUCGUAGGUGGUUUGUCGCGUUGUUCGUGAAAUCUCACGGCUUAACUGUGAGCGUGCGGGCGAUACGGGCAGACUUGAGUACUGCAGGGGAGACUGGAAUUCCUGGUGUAGCGGUGGAAUGCGCAGAUAUCAGGAGGAACACCGGUGGCGAAGGCGGGUCUCUGGGCAGUAACUGACGCUGAGGAGCGAAAGCGUGGGGAGCGAACAGGAUUAGAUACCCUGGUAGUCCACGCCGUAAACGGUGGGUACUAGGUGUGGGUUUCCUUCCUUGGGAUCCGUGCCGUAGCUAACGCAUUAAGUACCCCGCCUGGGGAGUACGGCCGCAAGGCUAAAACUCAAAGAAAUUGACGGGGGCCCGCACAAGCGGCGGAGCAUGUGGAUUAAUUCGAUGCAACGCGAAGAACCUUACCUGGGUUUGACAUGCACAGGACGCCGGCAGAGAUGUCGGUUCCCUUGUGGCCUGUGUGCAGGUGGUGCAUGGCUGUCGUCAGCUUCGUGUCGUGAGAUGUUGGGUUAAGUCCCGCAACGAGCGCAACCUUGUCUCAUGUUGCCAGCGGGUAAUGCCGGGGACUCG
rnacentral:rRNA from 1 species